rnacentral:tRNA from 1 species
UGGCUGAGAUGGUAAAGAAUCUGUCUGCAAUGCAGAAGACCUGGGUUCGAUCCCUG